GCUUGUGAUGCUUCAGCCAAAUCAAGAGUUUGGCUGAAGCAUCACAAGC
rnacentral:misc_RNA from 1 species